rnacentral:rRNA from 1 species
GACGAACGCUGGCGGCGUGCUUAACACAUGCAAGUCGAGCGGAGCGGCGAAAGGGUGAGAAACGCGUGAGUAACUGCCCCCCUCUCUGGGAUAACAGUUGGAAACGGCUGCUAAUACCGGAUAGUGGGGGAUGAAUCGCGUCCUAGCGGCUUGUUGGUGGGGUAGUGGCCAACCAAGGCGACGACGGGUAACCGGCCUGAGAAGGCGACCGGCCACCUUGGGCUUAGAUACUGCGCACACUCCUACGGGAGGCAGCACUGGGGAAUAUUGCACAAUGGGGGAAACCCUGAUGCAGCAACGCCGCGUGCGGGAUGACGGCCUUCGUGUUGUAAACCGCUUUCAGCCAUGACGCGUUGGUGGCAGAAGAAGCACCGGCUAACUACGUGCCAGCAGCCGCGGUAAUAC